rnacentral:rRNA from 1 species
CCAUUUGCUUACAAUCAUUCAGAGCCCUAUGUAGCAAUACAGGGUGAUGGACUGCCUUUUGCAUAAUGAGCCUGCGAGUUGUGGUGUCUGGCAAGGUUAAGCAAACGCGAAGCCGUAGCGAAAGCGAGUCUGAAUAGGGCGCUUAGUCAGAUGCUGCAGACCCGAAACGAAGUGAUCUAUCCAUGAGCAAGUUGAAGCUAGUGUAAGAACUAGUGGAGGACUGAACCCAUAGGCGUUGAAAAGCCCCGGGAUGACUUGUGGAUAGGGGUGAAAGGCCAAUCAAACUUCGUGAUAGCUGGUUCUCUCCGAAAUAUAUUUAGGUAUAGCGUUGUGUCGUAAUAUAAGGGGGUAGAGCACUGAAUGGGCUAGGGCAUACACCAAUGUACCAAACCCUAUCAAACUCCGAAUACCUUAUAUGUAAUCACAGCAGUCAGGCGGCGAGUGAUAAAAUCCGUCGUCAAGAGGGAAACAACCCAGACUACCAGCUAAGGUCCCUAAGUCUUACUUAAGUGGAAAACGAUGUGAAGUUACUUAAACAACCAGGAGGUUGGCUUAGAAGCAGCCAUCCUUUAAAGAAAGCGUAAUAGCUCACUGGUCUAGUGAUUUUGCGCGGAAAAUAUAACGGGGCUAAAGUAAGUACCGAAGCUGUAGACUUAGUUUACUAAGUGGUAGGAGAGCGUUCUAUUUGCGUCGAAGGUAUACCGGUAAGGAGUGCUGGAGCGAAUAGAAGUGAGCAUGCAGGCAUGAGUAGCGAUAAUUAAUGUGAGAAUCAUUAACGCCGUAAACCCAAGGUUUCCUACGCGAUGCUCGUCAUCGUAGGGUUAGUCGGGUCCUAAGUCGAGUCCGAAAGGGGUAGACGAUGGCAAAUUGGUUAAUAUUCCAAUACCAACAUUAGUGUGCGAUGGAAGGACGCUUAGGGCUAAGGGGGCUAGCGGAUGGAAGUGCUAGUCUAAGGUCGUAGGAGGUUAUACAGGCAAAUCCGUAUAACAAUACUCCGAGAACUGAAAGGCUUUUUGAAGUCUUCGGAUGGAUAGAAGAACCCCUGAUGCCGUCGAGCCAAGAAAAGUUUCUAAGUUUAGCUAAUGUUGCCCGUACCGUAAACCGACACAGGUGGGUGGGAUGAGUAUUCUAAGGCGCGUGGAAGAACUCUCUUUAAGGAACUCUGCAAAAUAGCACCGUAUCUUCGGUAUAAGGUGUGGUUAGCUUUGUAUUAGGAUUUACUCCGAAAGCAAGGAAACUUACAACAAAGAGUCCCUCCCGACUGUUUACCAAAAACACAGCACUCUGCUAACUCGUAAGAGGAUGUAUAGGGUGUGACGCCUGCCCGGUGCUCGAAGGUUAAUUGAUGGGGUUAGCAUUAGCGAAGCUCUUGAUCGAAGCCCGAGUAAACGGCGGCCGUAACUAUAACGGUCCUAAGGUAGCGAAAUUCCUUGUCGGUUAAAUACCGACCUGCAUGAAUGGCGUAACGAGAUGGGAGCUGUCUCAAAGAGGGAUCCAGUGAAAUUGUAGUGGAGGUGAAAAUUCCUCCUACCCGCGGCAAGACGGAAAGACCCCGUGGACCUUUACUACAGCUUGACACUGCUACUUGGAUAAGAAUGUGCAGGAUAGGUGGGAGGCUUUGAGUAUAUGACGCCAGUUGUAUAUGAGCCAUUGUUGAGAUACCACUCUUUCUUAUUUGGGUAGCUAACCAGCUUGAGUUAUCCUCAAGUGGGACAAUGUCUGGUGGGUAGUUUGACUGGGGCGGUCGCCUCCCAAAUAAUAACGGAGGCUUACAAAGGUUGGCUCAGAACGGUUGGAAAUCGUUCGUAGAGUAUAAAGGUAUAAGCCAGCUUAACUGCAAGACAUACAAGUCAAGCAGAGACGAAAGUCGGUCUUAGUGAUCCGGUGGUUCUGUGUGGAAGGGCCAUCGCUCAAAGGAUAAAAGGUACCCCGGGGAUAACAGGCUGAUCUCCCCCAAGAGCUCACAUCGACGGGGAGGUUUGGCACCUCGAUGUCGGCUCAUCGCAUCCUGGGGCUGGAGCAGGUCCCAAGGGUAUGGCUGUUCGCCAUUUAAAGCGGUACGCGAGCUGGGUUCAGAACGUCGUGAGACAGUUCGGUCCCUAUCUGCCGUGGGCGUAAGAAGAUUGAAGAGAUUUGACCCUAGUACGAGAGGACCGGGUUGAACAAACCACUGGUGUAGCUGUUGUUCUGCCAAGAGCAUCGCAGCGUAGCUAAGUUUGGAAAGGAUAAACGCUGAAAGCAUCUAAGCGUGAAGCCAACUCUAAGAUGAAUCUUCUCUAAGCUCUCUAGAAGACUACUAGUUUGAUAGGCUGGGUGUGUAAUGGAUGAAAGUCCUUUAGCUGACCAGUACUAAUAGAGCGUUUGGCUUAUCUUUAAUAAAGCAU